CCUACGGGUGGCAGCAGUCGGGAAUAUUGCGCAAUGGAGGAAACUCUGACGCAGUGACGCCGCGUAUAGGAAGAAGGUUUUCGGAAUGUAAACUAUUGUCGGUAGGGAAGAGAAAGGACAGUACCUAAGGAGGAAGCUCCGGCUAACUACGUGCCAGCAGACGCGGUAAUACGUAGGGAGCGAGCGUUGUCCGGAAUUAUUGGGGGUAAAGGGUGCGUAGACGGGAAAACAAGGUAGUUGUGAAAUCCCUCGGCUUACAUGAGGAACUGCCACUAAAACUAUUUAUCUUGAGUGCAGGAGAGGAAAGUGGAAUUCCUAGUGUAGCGGUGAAAUGCGUAGAUAUUAGGAGGAACACCAGUGGCGAAGGCGACUUUCUGGACUGUAACUGACGUUGAGGCACGAAAGUGUGGGGAGCAAACAGGAUUAGAUACCCUAGUAGUC
rnacentral:rRNA from 1 species